ensembl:lncRNA
AGAUCUGGGUAGAUCUAAGUGAAACUAAUUAGCUGUCAGCUGUAUUGCAUCUGGAGAUCAAAUAUAAACUGUUGGCAUCAAAAACUGUUCCGGUCCCUGUCAUUUCCGUUCUCCUGGUACCACGCCAUCCUUUGUUGCACGGGCUCAAUGUGUUUCUCCACGCUGACAGCGAUCCAGCAGCCCGCCAAGCGUGGAAUCCCAAGUCCUCUGCUAUCGGCAAUUGUAGCGUCCCUUCAUUUCGUGCCAGAAAGGCAGGAGGUGGAGAAUCAGCUGGAAUUGGCUCUUUGGCUUCUGUUGCGGUUUACCCAUCUUUCUCAUAUCCCAUUUUCAUGAGAUGGCACAGUCUACCACGUUCUGGAAACUCAGUGAGGGCCUGAGUCCUGCCUCCUCUGCCAGUGAGCUCGGCUUGCAGAAGGAAGGGUGGGCAGCCAGCCCUAUUUUACACCAUGAGAUGGAGGGUUGAUCUCAGCCGUGUUUAAAAUUUUAUACUGUUCCCACCCAGAUCUUUCCAUGCAUGGCACAUCCUUCAACAGACACUCCACUGUGGCUCAUAAAAACGACUCAUCCUUAUAUCCUGCUCUCAUGCUGCAGACUGGGAAAAACAAAUCUGUUCUAGAACUUCCCAAGACCAGGAGGGAAGCUGCCCCAGCGGAAUGCUGCGGUAGGUCCAGAUGCAAGCAAAAGAGCAUCCGAGUCCCUGCAGAUGACGCAGU